ACCGUUUGUGUAUGGGAUCUGAAUUUUUAAUUUUUAACAACUUUUUCGCUCAUUUAUGGAUUUUAAAAAUUAAAAAAGUUUUGGAAUGCUUAGGAUUUUCAUAUUUUCCCAUUUAAAUAUCUUUUUAAAAUGAAUAUCCGUUUUAAAUGACAAAAGAUUUUAAUAGCGGCGUAGCGAUCCUCCAAACAUUUUGAAGAAACACUGUAAGUUAAGCGUUCAUAAUUAAUCCAUUUAAUUUCGAAUUUAUAAUCAAAAGUAAUCAAUAAAUUGCUUGUUUUAUACACUUUCCAUUGAUCAAAAAAUUAUUGAUAUUAUUUGUGUUUUAAGAAAGUUUAAGCCGUUUGAAAAACACCACUGUUUACAAAAAACAUGGACGCUCGGCGUCGGCCCACCCGGUCUUUGUCUUAUCAGUUCUAAAAAUAGAAAAUACAAUGGAUUUGUUUACAAACACGAUCACUCCUAUAAGUCUGUCUUUUUACCCGGAAGUGAAUCCAAAACAUACCGAGAGAAAUUUAUGAAAUUUAUCUUGUGGCCACUAAACACAGAUGAUUUCAUUAUGCCUGUGUAUUUAAUAUAAAAUGACCAGUUGGGUUGUCACAAAGAUUAUUGAAGGCAGGCAGCUUCUUACUCAAGGUGACCAGGAUUCAUCAAAUUAUUUCAUUGUCCAUAGUAAGCAUUAGUAUGGAAAAAUACAUGUAGCUAUGAUAAUUAAUAAAUUUGAUGCAGACUUAUAGAUGCCUGCAUAUGUCACAUCAUUUCCCGAAAUGUCCCCUCUUACAGUAGUAGCAAAGGUAUUUUAAAAGGAAAUAUGUAGAUGUCCGGUAACCGGACGCCUACCCUGCAUUCUAGCUGUCCGGCAACAAGACGACUAGCCUCUCCGCGAAUGUUUUUCUAGCUGUUCGGCGAUCAUUUUAUAUAUGAAUACUGUAAUGAAUAAAUUUAUUGUAUCAUAUUUUUUUUGGCAUACUAAGGUUUGAAUAUUCACAUGUAAGGCUUAUUCAGACAAUAUUUUAAAAUUGAUUACCAGACGCCUAGAAAACCCCUAUAGGAUAGGAUAGGCUAGGCGUCCUGUUACCGGUUGGCUAAAACACUGGCUAUAUAUAGGUUUCUGGUUACCGGAUGUCUAGAUGCUUCCAUUUAUAAAAUGGUAACUGUUUUUGCUGUGGGUCUCAUAAGUCAUGUUAUUUCUGUCUGGUGACUACUCUCUUUCCAUUAUUGUUGAUUCAGAAUGUUUUGUAACAGGAUGAUUGUAAUAUGGAUAGUGGGAAUUUAUGCUAUAUAAUGAAAAUCUUUUUAUUUUUUAAAUUUUUGAGCCUUGCUGUGUGUAAAAUAAUUUAUGAUCCGUUAAAAAAUAGAUUCAUAGUAUAAUAACUUUUAAAGUAUUUUGUGGUAAGUUAAUGAAACCUUUCACAAUCACAUUAUUAAUUAAGUAUUCAGUUUUUGAUUUUUAGUGAUGUUUACAGUACAUGUAUUAUAUCUUCUUUCAGAUAAUAUUCAUUGUUCCUUUGAUGGUUCAUUCCACUACAGCUGGUUCAUAUACCCUACAACAGCCAGGAAAUUGGUCUGUUAACUUUAAGAUCUGAAGAAAAUGUAACAUAUUUUGGAUGUGCUUUGAGGAAUCAGGAAGGCAAGUGUUUCCUCUUGUUUAUGAAAGAAACUCAGUUGGUAAAGGGGCAGACAACUUGUGAGCAUGGUACAUCACUACCUGUAUUGGUAUUCCAUUUUGACAAUGCUGCUAGCUAGAAUAGAAAUAACAUCUUGCUGUGGUAUGGUCUGUGGAGAGUUUUACUAGGAUAUCACAGAUCGAUUGAAUAUUCAACAAUGAUCACAGACCAUGCAAAGUUUGAAUAUGACUUGCACUUUUGAAUUUAGAAGAAUCUGUGGAGGAGGGUGAAUGCUGAGACCUUUAAUAAUACAUGAUCUUGCUGACACAGUGUGUCAGUCAUCAAAGAAAGAUCGUAACAUUGCACAGUUGGUCAACAAUGAUUUAAAUCCUGUCACAUUCUACCAGUGGAGAAAUAUCUUAUCACAAUAUUUUAAACUUUUGAAGAAGAUAACUAAGUAUUACCACUUUACCAUGUCUGCAGAAACACUUGAUUGUUAGUGUUAAAAGUGACAGUCCAGUUGAGACAGUUAACUUACUAAAAUAUACUCCCCCUUUCCAAACGAAUAUUACUGACAUGGAAUGACACAAGCCUGACAAUGAUACCUGUAUGAACUCCUAAGAGAAUAGUAUAUGUCUGAAAAGUCAAAGGAUUCUGUUUGUCCCAGACCACUUGAACUGAAAACUGAAAUUGUGAUUGACCAGGAUUUUUCUGAGAACUGAAAAAAGGAAGUGAAUAUAAAAGAUAGAAAUUGUUGUUGAAUUCAAACGUUUUAAUACACAACACUUUAGCCUGUUUUGCUGUUCAUAUAGAUGUGUUUAGCUGUUAAGGUUAAACAUCAAGUAAAGGUUGUAGUUUCAGUUACCUACUUUAAAGUAUUGGCUGGAAAUAAAUAUUUACUUUUCACCAGAGCUUGUAGCAGUGUAACCUUCAUCAAAAGUUAAGCUAUUGUGUUAAUUAUUAAAGUAUUUUUAGAAAAAAGGAAUUUAGUAUGUAUGUUGCCAUGGUAACAUAAUUCAAAUUAUAUUUCAUUGAAAUUAUGGAUUUGUAUUUCAAUAAGGGAUCUACAGUAUAUAAUGUAAUGGUAAAAGAAUGUUCACUUUCUUCAGUAUUGUCAGUUAUAACUAGCCAGUGAAAAAAACAGAUUAUGAGGAAAGGGAUGACUGAAAUGUUUAUUCUUACGAUAACUACUUUCGUUAUUUUAAAGUUUUUAUGUGAAAUUUUCAGAUUUCUUUCCUGAAUACUUAUACUUUGAAAUAUUUAACUUAUUAGAAAUACUUUUUUAAAAUAAGCUCUUGUUUUUAGGUAUUAUUGUAGGAAAAGGGAAUUUAAAACAUAUGUCGCCAUGGUAACACAAUUUUCUUAGAAAAUAUGGAAAAUUUUUAAUUAGCUGUACUUUCUAGUAUUCUACUUUAAAAUAAGUACAAACAAUAAAAAAAAUCAAUAGUAAUAUAUGUUUCAUUUAUUUCAAAAUAGUCAUUUAUUACCAGCAGGUAAAAGGCAAGUUAUGAAGAAACAAUGACAGAAAUGUCUUAUUCUUAUAGUUAUUACUCAUGUUACAAACGCUGUCAUAAAACAAAACAUUUUAAUUUUUUUAACAUGGAAUUUUGAGAUAAUAUUUUUGAAUACACACCAUUUGAUAAUAUUCAAGUUAUCUGAAACACUUUUCCAAAUUUAGCUCUUUUUUAAAGUAUUAUUAUAGAAAAUAGGAUCGAAUGCAUAUGUUGCCAUGGUAACAUAAUUUAAUAAUGUUUUUAUAGAAAAUGUGAAGGACUUUAGCCAGCUAGAUGUUUGCACUUUAAGUGACUAUCUAAAUAUUCUUUGUAAAAGAAGAUUCAUUUAUUUAAAAAUAGCCAGUGAUUUCCAAUAAGUGAAAACACAAACCGAAGAAACAACGACUGAAAUAGUUUAUUCUUGUGGUUAUUACCCGUGUUACGAAAUCUGUCAUAAAACCAAACAUUUUAUAUCUUUUCACAUAAAGUUUUCAAAUUUUACUUUCGAAUACAUAUACUUCGGAAUAUUCAACUUAUAAGAAACAUUAUUUCAAAUUAAGCUUUUAUUUCUAAGUUCUAUUGUAGAAAAAGGAAUUUAAUGCAUAUGUUGCCAUGGUAACACAAUUUGAAUAAUGUUUUCAUAGAAAAUAUGAAAGAUUUUAAUUAGCUGUAUUUUUGUGUUUUAAGUAAGCAUCAGAAGAAUAAAAUUUCAUAGUAAAAGAAGGUUCAUUUUUCCCAAAAUAGUCAUUUAUUACCAGUAGCUAAAAGACAAGUUAUGAAGAAACAAUGACAAAUCUAACUUAUUCUUAUGGUUAUUACCCAUGUUACAAAAACUUGUCAUAAAACCAAACAUUCUUAAUAUUUUCAUGUGAAAUUUUCAGAAUAUUUUUAUAAAUACAUAGGCCUUCUAAUAUUUUACUUUUUAAAGUCCUUUCUUUAAGUGAACAAGUUUUUUUUUUUUAAAGUUUUAUCAUAGAAAAGAGAAUUUAAUAUAUUUGUUGCCAUGGUAACAGAAUUUGAGAAAUAUUUUUAUAGAAAUUGUUGUAGAUUUUAGUUGAUUAUCAUUUUGUGUAAUAAGAAGGAAUCUAAUAUAUAUCAUGCAAUUGUAACAGAAGAUAAAUUUAUUUCAGAAUUGUUAGCCAUUACCAGUAAGUGAGAAAUAAACUAGAAGGAAAGAAUAACUGAAAUGUUCUGUUUUUAUUUUUAAUAUCUAUGUUACAAAAUCUGUCAUAAAACUGACAAUUUU